AAAAUGGCCGUAUACAUGAGUCUGAGAGAAGUCGUCAUCAUCAUCAUGGCAUGGUAACAGAUAAAAGACAAGACGAAAGAUUAAAACCAAAAUGGGAAGAAAGAAAAAGAAUAAGAAGGACAUCUUCAUGCCUGGUUGCCUUGUCUGGACAUCAUUGGCAGGAAUACCUAAGAAAAUGAAGUGGCCCGGGGAGAUUAUUAGAUCUAGCGACGGGAAAGUGGAGGUUUUUUGUCACUCAGACAAUUCAUGGUGCGUUGAAAAAAAGACCAAAAAGCACUUUUGAUUUUAUCACAGAUAUAAAUUGGGCCUGCAAUAAAAAGCCUGAAAUUAGCACUGAGCUUCCUAUAACAGUUGGAGAAGAUACACAUGUUAGGGAUAUUCAAGAACAGAGAUCUGUACACAACACUGAGCUUCCUAUAACAAGUGGAGAAGAUACACAUGUUAGGGAUAUUCAAGAACAGAGAUCUGUACACAACACUGAGCUUCCUAUAACAGUUGGAGAAGAUACACAUGUUAGGGAUAUUCAAGAACAGAGAUCUGUACACAACACUGAGCUUCCUAUAACAGUUGGAGAAGAUACACAUGUUAGGGAUAUUCAAGAACAGAGAUCUGUACACAACACUGAGCUUCCUAUAACAAGUGGAGAAGAUACACAUGUUAGGGAUAUUCAAGAACAGAGAUCUGUACACAACACUGAGCUUCCUAUAACAGUUGGAGAAGAUA